GAUGAACGCUGGCGGCGUGCCUAAUACAUGCAAGUCGAGCGAACGGACGAGAAGCUUGCUUCUCUGAUGUUAGCGGCGGACGGGUGAGUAACACGUGGAUAACCUACCUAUAAGACUGGGAUAACUUCGGGAAACCGGAGCUAAUACCGGAUAAUAUUUUGAACCGCAUGGUUCAAAAGUGAAAGACGGUCUUGCUGUCACUUAUAGAUGGAUCCGCGCUGCAUUAGCUAGUUGGUAAGGUAACGGCUUACCAAGGCAACGAUGCAUAGCCGACCUGAGAGGGUGAUCGGCCACACUGGAACUGAGACACGGUCCAGACUCCUACGGGAGGCAGCAGUAGGGAAUCUUCCGNCAUGGGCGAAAGCCCUGACGGAGCACGCCGCGUGAGUGAUGAAGGUCUUCGGAUCGUAAACUCUGUUAUUAGGAAGAACAUAUGUGNUAGUAACUGUGCACAUCUUGACGGUACCUAAUCAGAAAGCCACGGCUAACUACGUGCCAGCAGCCGCGGUAAUACGUAGGUGGCAAGGCGUAUCCGGAAUUAUUGGGCGUAAAGCGCGCGUAGGCGGUUUUUUAGUCUGAUGUGAAAGCCCACGGCCCAAUUGUGGAGGGUCAUUGGAAACUGGAAAACUUGAGUGCAGAAGAGGAAAGUGGAAUUCCAUGUGUAGCGGUGAAAUGCGCAGAGAUAUGGAGGAACACCAGUGGCGAAGGCGACUUUCUGGUCUGUAACUGACGCUGAUGUGCGAAAGCGUGGGGAUCAAACAGGAUUAGAUACCCUGGUAGUCCACGCCGUAAACGAUGAGUGCUAAGUGUUAGGGGGUUUCCGCCCCUUAGUGCUGCAGCUAACGCAUUAAGCACUCCGCCUGGGGAGUACGACCGCAAGGUUGAAACUCAAAGGAAUUGACGGGGACCCGCACAAGCGGUGGAGCAUGUGGUUUAAUUCGAAGCAACGCGAAGAACCUUACCAAAUCUUGACAUCCUUUGACAACUCUAGAGAUAGAGCUUUCCCCUUCGGGGGACAAAGUGACAGGUGGUGCAUGGUUGUCGUCAGCUCGUGUCGUGAGAUGUUGGGUUAAGUCCCGCAACGAGCGCAACCCUUAAGCUUAGUUGCCAUCAUUAAGUUGGGCACUCUAAGUUGACUGCCGGUGACAAACCGGAGGAAGGUGGGGAUGACGUCAAAUCAUCAUGCCCCUUAUGAUUUGGGCUACACACGUGCUACAAUGGACAAUACAAAGGGCAGCGAAACCGUGAGGUCAAGCAAAUCCCAUAAAGUUGUUCUCAGUUCGGAUUGUAGUCUGCAACUCGACUACAUGAAGCUGGAAUCGCUAGUAAUCGUAGAUCAGCAUGCUACGGUGAAUACGUUCCCGGGUCU
rnacentral:rRNA from 1 species